rnacentral:tRNA from 2 species
GCGGGUAUAGCUCAGUUGUUAGAGCGCUUCCUUGCCAAGGAAGAGGCCACGAGUUAGAGUCUCGUUACCCGCACCA